rnacentral:rRNA from 1 species
GCGGCCAUACCACAUUGAAAACACCGGUUCUCGUCCGAUCACCGAAGUUAAGCAAUGUCGGGCCCGGUCAGUACUUGGGAGGGUGACCACCUGGGAACACCCGGUGCUGUAGGCU